UACGGGGGGGGCAAGCGUUGUUCGGAAUUACUGGGCGUAAAGGGCUCGUAGGCGGCCAACUAAGUCAGACGUGAAAUCCCUCGGCUUAACCGGGGAACUGCAUCUGAUACUGGAUGGCUCGAGUUUGGGAGAGGGAUGCGGAAUUCCAGGUGUAGCGGUGAAAUGCGUAGAUAUCUGGAGGAACACCGGUGGCGAAGGCGGCAUCCUGGACCGAUACUGACGCUGAGGAGCGAAAGCCAGGGGAGCAAACGGG
rnacentral:rRNA from 1 species